GAGCUGGUAUCAAGCACACUCCAAAGUAGCUCAUAACACCUUGCUCAGCCACGCCCCCACGGGAAACAGCAGUGAUAGAAAUUAAGCAAUAAAUGAAAGUUCGACUAAGUUAUACUAAUAAAGGGCUGGUAAAUUUCGUGCCAGCCACCGCGGUCAUACGAUUAGCCCGAACUAAUAGAUAACCGGCGUAAAGUGUGUUUUAGAGUAGAACUAAAAAUAAAGCCAAAUUUUAACCAAGCUGUAAAAAGCCCCGGUUAUUGUAAGAUAUAUGACGAAAGUAACUUUAAAAUCUCUGACUACACAAUAGCUAAGACCCAAACUGGGAUUAGAUACCCCACUAUGCUUAGCCCUAAACAUAAAAAAUUAUAAACAAAAUUAUUCGCCAGAGUACUACCAGCAAAAGCUAGAAACUCAAAGGACUUGGCGGUGCCUUAUAUCCUUCUAGAGGAGCCUGUUCCAUAAUCGAUAAACCCCGAUAAACCCAACCAACCUUUGCUAAGUCAGCCUAUAUACCGCCAUCUUCAGCAAACCCUAAAAAGGAAACACAGUAAGCACAAAUAUUAACAUAAAUACGUUAGGUCAAGGUGUAGCCUAUAGGUUGGAGAGAAAUGGGCUACAUUUCCCAAGCUAGGGAUACACUACGAAAAUUUAUGUGAAAUCAUUAAUCAAAGGUGGAUUUAGCAGUAAAUUAAGAAUAGAGCGCUUAAUUGAAUAAGGCCAUGAGGCACGCACACACCGCCCGUCACCCUCCUCAAGCAAUAA
rnacentral:rRNA from 1 species